rnacentral:rRNA from 1 species
GACAGAGGGUGCAAACGUUGUUCGGAAUUACUGGGCGUAAAGCGCGUGUAGGCGGCUAAGCAAGUCGGGCGUGAAAUCCCAUGGCUCAACCAUGGAAGUGCACCCGAAACUGCAUAGCUAGAGUCCUGGAGAGGAAGGUGGAAUGCUUGGUGUAGAGGUGAAAUUCGUAGAUAUCAAGCGGAACACCGGUGGCGAAGGCGGCCUUCUGGGACAGUGACUGACGCUGAGACGCGAAAGCGUGGGGAGCAAACAGG